AAGUCGUAACAAGGUUUCCGUAGGUGAACCUGCGGAAGGAUCAUUAACGAAUUUCUCAAAGUUGCUUACAGCGUUGUGCGGCCUUUCGCAUAUGCUGAAGGUAGCUCUUGAGCAUUUCACACAUCCCCUGUGCACCUUAAGAGGGUAGCUGUUUUAUCUUGAGCGCGUCAGUGCUCGAUAGGACGUGUUGCCUUCUCUUUACAAAAUCUCAUGUCUAGAAUGUCGAUAACAUUAAACAAAAUAACUUUCAACAACGGAUCUCUUGGCUCUC
rnacentral:misc_RNA from 1 species